CUCCUUAGUAGUCGUUCUCACCAAACAAAGAAACCUCGAAGGUUGAAGCCUCAACCCAAAUUCAAAUUACUUUCUAACGGAAGAAUUCUUGAACACCAUUUCAGCCAACAGAUCCAUUCAAGACAUUUCCUAUAAAUAGAGCUCGAUGAUCACUUCAAUUUUCACCGAUUCAACUACAUAAGCUGAAACGCUACCGAAUUAGUUACUCAGCAUUCAAAGCCACUCUAAAGUUUGAAUCGAAGAAGAGAAUCACAAAGCCAAAAAUCAGUACUGCUGAUUACAUACAUUCUCUUAGAACUUAGGAAAAUAUUGUAUAUCCAAAGCCUAGGUAUAACUGAUUACAGAGAACUUGUUCUUUGUAAUCUAGUUGGCAAGUUUUCGAACCUCUUUUCAAUCAACCGAAUCGAGAAUUUGAGUUGUAAGGAGUUCAGACCAGUGCUCUGUCUCUGAAGAGAUCUUAGUGCCCAGUGUGCGCUAAGAGUGAGAAAUCCAAUCAGGUGUGUUGGUACUGAAGAUAGGAUCUUCAGUUGUCCAAGUUUGCUGUGCACCCGUAAGCACACGCCCAG
rnacentral:lncRNA from 1 species